rnacentral:snRNA from 1 species
AUACUUACCUGGUAGGGAAGAUACCAUGAUCAAGAAGGUGGUUUUCCCAGGGUGAGGCUCUGAGUGUGCUGACCCCUGUGAUUUCCCCAAAUGUGGGAAACUCGACUGCACAAUUUGUGGUAGUGGGGGACUGCGUUCACGCUUUCCCCUG